rnacentral:rRNA from 1 species
UACGGGGGGAGCAAGCGUUGUUCGGAUUUACUGGGCGUAAAGGGCGCGUAGGCGGUAGCACAAGUCAGUUGUGAAAUCUCCGGGCUUAACUCGGAAAGGUCAACUGAUACUGUGCGACUAGAGUGCAGAAGGGGCAACUGGAAUUCUUGGUGUAGCGGUGAAAUGCGUAGAUAUCAAGAGGAACACCUGAGGUGAAGACGGGUUGCUGGGCUGAUACUGACGCUGAGGCGCGAAAGCUAGGGUAGCAAACGGG